rnacentral:piRNA from 1 species
UAUACUGUGUAGUAACUGUGU